rnacentral:rRNA from 1 species
GCAGCGCGGGGGCACUCUGGCGGCGAGCGGCGAACGGGUGAAAAAUAGAACGUGUCCGAGAGUGGGGGAUAACUCGCGAAAGGUUACUAAUACCGCAUAUUCUCUUUGGAGGAAAGCGGGGGACCAGGCCUCGCGCUCACGGAGUGGCCUAUCUCCGAUUAGCUAGUUGGUGAGGUAAAGGCUCACCAAGGCGACGAUCGGUAGCUGGUCUGAGAGGAUGAUCAGCCACACUGGGACUGACACACGGCCCAGACUCCUACGGGAGGCAGCAGUGGGGAAUUUUGGACAGUGGGGGCAACCCUGAUCCAGCCAUGCCGCGUGCGGGAAGAAGGCCUUCGGGUUGUAAACCGCUUUUCUUCGGAAGAAGAUUGGGGGUUAAUUCUUUUUUUUUUUGACGGUACUGGAUGAAUAACCACCGG